rnacentral:snRNA from 1 species
GUGCUCACUUCGGCAGCACAUAUACUAAAACUGGAACGAUAAAGAGAAGAUUAGCAUGGCCCCUGCGCAAGGAUGACACGAAAAUUCGUGAAGCGUCCAUUUUAUUU